rnacentral:lncRNA from 1 species
UAUUGCUGAUGAUGAUGUUGGAAAUGACAAUCUUGAUCUUAUUGUUAUUCCUCAAUAUGGGAGAAAUCCUGAUUAUUAUGGGUAAGUGUCUGCAAUCUGGAUGAUGAUAUAUGUAAUUAAAUAAAAGGAUGGGUACAGUUAUUACCUAUCAAUCAUAAGAGUGUCAAUUUAGUUCAGUUCACUAAUAAAAAUCUCUUAUACAAGAGAUUAUCUUUGUUUGCGUUCAUGUACUUUGUCUUCUUUAAUUAAUAAAUAAAAUUAUUGUGUAUCAAUGUGUUGAUUAAAUUAGUCCAUUAAUAGAUAUAAAAUCAUUUGAAUUUGUCCACAUAUUAGUUUAGUUAAUUGUGCUCUCUUUCUUCUUGAAUAUUUGUCAAACAAAGUCUACCUAUUAGUUAGCUAAUAAUCGCAGCUCGCAGGGAACCAAGAUCUUUAUAAUUAAUUACGAACGUUUAUGCUUCUUAAAUGGCUUGUGUCAUCGUGAUAAUGCCAUUACAACCUGUUAUAUAUAUAUAUAUAUAUAUAUAUAUUCAAAAGCAUUCCAACUCUAUGAACCUUCUAUUACACAAUUUUCAAAUGGUAUAAACAUCUAUUUUAAUUAGAGUAAAAUGUUGCUUGUUAGAAUGGCCCGUGAGUCAAUCUAAUUUGCGCUGGGACAAAUUAAUAGAACUUUAAAACUUUUCGACGGGUUUUGAUAAGACUUUAACUUGUCAAACCGUGGGUUGCUGUACGACGGGACUUGAAAAAAAACAUGUUGAGUUCUUUAUAAUUAAUGUUUAAAAUAUUUCAUUAAUUUUAGAGAAUAUUAAAAUAAAAAAUAAGUAAAUUCACGUUGAUCGAGAAAAAUACUGAAAUAUCGAUGCGUGUUUAGGACGAUAUAGAGGAUCUAUUUGAUCACAUUUAAUUCGCAUGCAACAGUAAUUCUGUCACAUUCUAUCACAGAUUCACGAAAGCUUCUCAUCAAAGUAUAGAAACAGAAAACUGUAAAAUUUAACGGGGGAAAACCUAUUAAACAAGAAAACAAAGCAGCCCCUCCGUACUGUGAAAUUACUUGCAAGCCAGUUGCGGUUGAGUUUGGGAAUGAGGGGCUGAGUUUGAGAUAAAUGGAGGGGAGAUAAGUUUGACUAAAAGGGGAUUCACAGGAAGACUUUAAGGGAGAAGAGACGAGUUUGAGAAAAAUUAGGAUAGAGAUUUAGAGGAGAUGAUUUGGGGUCUCAAAUUAACUAAUCCAUUCUUACAAUCACACAAACCGAUGGAAACCCAUUCAGAUUUUGAAAUAAUGAUGGUGACAUUAGUAGCUUAAGCCAAAACAUAAUUUAAAAAUAACAUAUAUAUAUAUAUAUAUAUAUAUAUAUAUAUAUAUAUAUAGUCAUUCUCUAGUGUAGGUAUCUUCAUUUAUUUUUCAUGCGAACACAUUUUAAAACCGCGGAGUUUAAGAGAGUUAGUUUUUAACUCUUUAAAACCGCAUAGUUUAAAAGUUUAUCCGUAUUAAAAAAAAUACGGGCGUCCGCACCUGAGAAUGAUUUUAUAUACACACACGUAUAAAGUAAUUUUUUAAUUGUGAAUUAUCAACCAUAUUAAAGUCAAGAGAAAGUUUAUAAAAAAAACCACCGACGCUAAUACAACGUAUUUUGUUGUGUAAUGUUUUGAAAUAUUCCUGCAAAUAAAUGGAUACUGAAAAUGAUCAUAUUAUUUUUAGUGAUUAAUGAUUCUUAUCGAGUAGAUUCCUGAUCUAUGAAAUGACUUACAUGAGCAUAUUCACCCUUUGGGAGUGGGAAACAAGUAAAAUUAUGUGUGCUAGAGGAGCCAAUAUCGAAGAGUUUAAGUCUAUGCUUCUCGUAAUCAAUUUCCAUAUCAAAACAAAAUGGAGUUGAUGAUAAUCUUGAUUUUACUAAAAAAAAAAAGGAAUAAUAGAUGUCUCAUUAGAAAAUAUUAAUGUGCCAUAUAUAUAAUAGUUCAAUCAUGUAAAAAUACUUGAAAAAUUAAUCUUGAGAAUGCAAAAUAAGAACUAUAGCAAGCACCUCUACAGGCAUAAAUUAAAAGAAUUGCAACGUGUACAUGAAGACUGCUAGACAUAGAAAAAAGUGAUAAAAAAAAAAACUGAUAUAUGAUAAAGAGCAUAAUAGAGAUAGUUGUUAUUAGGGAUGGUAAAAUUCUCCAUGGGUUGGGGUUCUCUAGGGCUCCAUGAUACAAACUCUUAAAAUAAUUAAAAUUAUUUAUUUUAUUUUAUGGUAUUAGUUAAUUUUGAACUAGUCAAAAGUAGUUGCACUUAUUUUGUGGAAUUACAUGUAAGUAAUGGAGCAUUAUGUGAAAACAAGCCCAAUGUUACUAAUUUUUAGGUUGUAAUCUUAAAUAAGCUUUAUUAUAUAAAGCUUGAUGUUAGUCAAUGAAAAGUAUCAUGAGUUAAUUAUUUGGCAACAUAAAAGUUGUAAUUGGGAGUUUAUUGGUUUCUCGAAUAACUAGUAUUUAUUUGGAGAUUUGGGUUUCUUCAAAUUAAUCCCAUUUGUCAUCUAAUUUUUUCUGUUUCAUUUGAUUUCUCCUUAUAAACAGUAGCAUUCGUAUCAUUCCACCCCAAAUGGGGUGAAUUUUGAAUAAUUUUUGGAGAAUGAGGUGGGGAAUUAGAGAAAAAUAAUCUCCAAAUUCUUAAUAAUAUGGGGUUUGAUUUUGUACUUCCCACUCCACAGUCCACACCCACUCCAGUCCCCAUUACAUAUAAAUAUUUUUUAAUUUUUAUUUAAUAAAUUUUUUAUCAAUUACAAUGUCAAUUAAUAAUUUUUUUUAUUUUCACUUGAUAUAAAUGAGUUAUGACUAAAAGAAAACCCUAUAAUAUAAUUUUUAUUCAACCCUAAAACAUUGUUAUAUUUUCUUUUCUAUCUUAAAAUACCACUCUCUUCAAACAUUUUUCAAUUUUGAUAUUAUUUUAAGAUAUUGUUUCAGACAUUUGGAGAUUUUUUUAAAUAAUUUGAAUACUUCAUAAUAUAGUAAUGAUUUUAUUGAACUCUUUAAUUUUUAAUUUAUUGAAAUCAUAUAUCUAUAUCUACUAUAAAAUAAAAAUAAAUGGGGAAUGAGGAGGGAUGGGGAUGGGGAUGAGGAAAUCAUUUCUCAUGUGGGGAUUCCUUAUACCCACCCCACUAAAUUCAUUGAGAAAUGAAGUGGGAAUUAGAGGCAAAAUUUUUAACACGGUGGGGAAUGGGAUAGCCUUCCUACCCCCACCCCACCCCAUUGCCAUCUCUAGUUGUUAGAUGGUGGAUAAUUUUACAUAAAUUAAUUGUAUUAAACUUAUUAUCCGAAUAAAAUUGUUUUAAAUAAAAUUUUAAUAAAUGAAAUUUUGGAAAUAUGUAAUAUUAUUUUUAAUAAUAGUGAUACACAAACUCGUCAAAAUUAAUUUGUCAAUCAUCUGUAAAUUUUACCAACUCUAUAGUUCAAUUAACAUUUUUCUAAACCUCAUUUUAUAUUUAUCGCUUUUGAAGAUUAAAAUAUCAUGAUUUAUUAUGUCCAUAUAAGUAAUUUGAUAACCUCAUUUCAGUAUAUCAGAAUAUCAAGAUUUAUUAGGUCUUUACUUGCGCUUUUGGCUGCAAGAGCCUUCGCCAAUUGAUCAUUUUAUGGGGUUUGACAUAGCCACAAAAUUAAGAUAAAGGUUCAAAGACAGUAUUACAGGUUCAUCCACCAUAAAACAAAUGAUAUUUUGAAAAGAAAAUUAAGACCCUAUUAGUUAAUUUGUCUCGUAAUUAAUUAUUGUCGACAAGCCAUCACAAACUUUCUUCAAUUAUUCCUACUUUUCUAAAAAAAUCUUUAAUGAUAAAAUUAUUUGCACUCUAAAAAUUAUUCUUUAACAUUAUUUUAAUAAAUUAUUUUAUGAGUGAUGAUACAGCCACAAACUCUUGUACAAACUUAUUUCGUACAAACUGAUGUGGCAUCAAUUCAUUGGUUGAAUGAAAAUACAAAAUAAUGAAAAUAAAUCAUGUGGGCCAAGAGAUAUUUAAUUUAACCAAUUUUAUCAUGCCACAUCAGUUUGUACAAAAUAAGUUUGUACAAGAAUUUGUGGCUAUAUCAUUACUCUUAUUUUAUUACAAAAAUACUCAUCAUAUGAAUUAUUGACAAGGAUUCUCUCUUAUAGGCUAAUAUAAUAUAAUUAUUCUGAAUACUCAUAUGGCAUACUCACUAUUCAAUAUAUAAUUUCUCUUGUCAUAAAUCCUAAAAAUCUUAUUUUCAAUCUCUUGAAUAAUGUUUAAUUAAACAAGGAGCAAAUCAAUACUAAAAAUACAUUUUGAACAUAUUUUUGCUUGUUAAUUUUUUUUAAAAAGUAGUUUUUUUAAAUAAGCAUUUAAUUCAGAAGAUGCAUGCUUGGAGUUAUGAUUUUGGAUGUAGAGAAGAUUUGAUCGGAAACGAGAAAUGGCGGCAGCAAGCUUAUUGAAUCGUCGUUCUGCGAAGAAGAGUUUGCUUUUUGCUGUUUCUAGUGGAAUGUCACUUAAUAAUCAAAACAGGCUUCUUCUUCUUUCUUUUUUAAAACCUAUAGCUUUAUGGUUUAUGCUUAGUAACAAAAAAAGAGUCAAAUAUCAGUGGUCUCUAUAACUAACAGUGAGCAAGAUUCGAUUUUGAAAAAUCUUGUACCAAUUUGCUUUUGUGCUAUUUUAUAUUCAAUUGACGAAAGAAUUAAUGCUGUAACUGCUACCCUUGUGUCGAUGACUACAUUAAUAAUGCCCCCAAAUUAAAGCCCACAUAAAAUUAAAUAGUAUACUCUAGCAAAUUAAAUUAAGUCAUAUUGUAAGGUAUCAAGAAUUAAAUAUUCUAUUAGCAAAGUCAAAACGUGAAAUCUAUCCAAACCAAGCCCACCGGUUUGUCCAUGAAAAUUAAUUAUUUCUUCAUUAUUAUCGAAUUAAUAUCUUCACUUGAUAACAUGGUUUACGAGGUAGGUCGCACAUUAAUUAUAUGAUUACUUCAUAGUUAUCCAAUAUCUUCGUACACCUUUUAUGACUAACCUAUUGGUCUAUCCAAAUUAAUAGUCACUUAAUUUAUUGUGGUCCAAUAUCAUCACUUGAUAAGAUUAAAGCAUAUAUACCCACAGCCCCCUAUAUGCCUCUUAAUUAUAUAUCAUGACUUUGUCCAGCAAGAGAGAAAGAGAGAAAGGGUAGGACUCUUUUCGAGCUUUUACAAAUCUACGGUAGAAUAAGAUGAUUUAAGUAAAAAUAAUUUAAAAAAAAAAAACCAAAUACCAAAAUUAACUUUCAAAAUUUUAAAAUUAUUUUCUGCCAUCUCAAAAACAGUGUCAAAUGAAACCUUUUAUCCAACUAAAAAAAAAUAGUGAAAAGUAGUGGGAAUUUUAUUAACCGCACAAAUCAUAAGUCAAAAAAUAUGAACAAAAUAGUUUGUUCUUCGGAACUCUAAUAAAUUGGAGGCAUGUGCUGCCCGAAACCAAAUGAUGCAUCAAGAUUUGUUCUUUGAAAAAUAAAUUAAUUUGUUAGUAGAUAGUUGCGUGUUUUACUUUCAAAAAAGGCUAAAAUAAUUUCAGGCCUUGGAUGCAUCUAACGGCUGAAAUCAUAAUAUCAAGAUUUAUUCUUAAGUCUUUGUUUGAUAUCAAGAUUUUUGAUUCAACCGCACAAUUAAGUUAAAGUUUCGUAUGCAGACUAUUAGGGAUUCAUCCAGGUAUGCAACAAACAGAUGAAAUGAUAUUUUGAAAAGAAAAUUAAUUUGUCUUGUAAUUAAUUAUUGCCGGCAAACUUUAUCUCAAAUCGCACACUUCUUUUCAAAUAUUAUCUACUUUUCUAGACUCUACGAUUACUGUCUACAUUUUUCAAUGAAUUAUUGCUCGGUAACUAGUUUUUUUACAAUCAUUUUUUUCGCGGACCAGAUCGUGUUUCGCACUAAUUGCAAUCAUUUAACCAUAUAUGGCCGUUAAUCGUACCCAGCCAUUGCGCGAAAAAACAUCAGCCGUUGAUCGUUUAUCUGUACAAUUUUUUAAUAUUUAUAAUAUUUUACUUAUAAAUCAUGAUUUUCCUUAAAGUUGUGGAUUCCUCCACUGAAUAGAAAUGGUUGUGAUUUAUUUGUCAAUUCAAAAGUUCCAACAGUAUUUCAAUGUUGUGCAUUUUCAGCUAAUUAGUCAAAGAUAAUCUAGUGCAUCUUCAGAAUUUUUAUCCCUAAAUUUACCAUUACACAUUAUUUCAACAACCUAUCUACUUUAGGGUAUCAAGCUCUUGUAGAAAUAAAUGACCAAUCACCAAGUUUCAAAACCAUGGUGUGGACAUAUGUUAAGCAAUUCUUUAAACCCAUCCCAACAUUGGUAUAAUGUUUCUCCAUUUUUUUUAGUGAAAUAAGUGAUUUGCCUUUUAAAAGAAUUGGUUCUAUGAGGUGGAAAGAAUUUUUUCAAAAAUUAUUCUUACAUGUUAUUCGAAGUUCUUAUUGAUUCAGAUCUAAAGUUUUAUAGCCAAGUUUUAGCUUUAUUUUUUAAUGAAAAAAGAAAAAGUUUCAACCUAACUAUGUUCAUGCUACAAUUUUGGUUUAUAUAUGUAUUACAAACUUCCUCAAAGAUGCAAGUAUGGAUUCUCAGAUUCUAAACCAUGAAAUGUUGGUAAAAGUUGGAUAAUACAUGGUUUAAAGUUGAAUCGAGAAGCCUCUGGAGGUAGGGGUGGCAAAUAUACCCGCCCAGUCUGGAUCCGGACCGUACUCGGGCGUUUUGGGCAUCACUUGAUAAACCCAGAACCCGGAUUUUAUUUCAAAAAAUUAUUAGAAAAUAUAUAUUAUUUUAAAUAUUUAUAUUUAUUUGACUCAUUUAUUACACAUAUAUAAAGUUUUAAACACUUAAAGUUCAUAAUUUCAUGUCAAAUUUUAUUAAAAAUAAAUUUAAAACUUAUAAAAUUACCAAAAAAAUACACAUAUAAUAUUAAAAAAAUAUAAAAUUCGGGUACCCGGAUUAAAGCCCAGCACAACCCGGCCCGGGCAUCUAUGCAUCCGGGUCGGGUCCGGUCAUUGCGAUACCCGGACCCGGGCCAGGGUUUUGCCAACCCUAUCUGGAGGAAAUACUAUACAGCUCCGAUUCUAGUUGGAUUCAUGUAGUCUCUCAAGAUUCUUCGUCGAUUCUGAUCACGUCCAGGUUGAGACUGAUUGUCUCCCUGAUAAAUUUGAGGAUUAGGUUCGCCCAAAAGUUUUUCAUCUUGGAUUUCGUCCAUAAUUAGUGAUGGAGAUUGAGAUCUACGAAUUAACCUGCCACCUGAAGUUCGAGACCAAUGUGUCAUGAAAUGGUUAUAUCACAAAGGUAAUAUUCAAAUAAAUUAGUAACAAAAGAACUAAAUGAAAAUUGCACAAAACAAAAAUAAAAAUUAAAUAUGCAAAUAAUAAGAGGAUGAAUACCCCGAAAUCUGGGUUGUGACUUUUGAUCAUUGUCGCAGCAUGAAGUUUGUUGUGACCUCUAGUUCACAUGCACUCUGUUUUUGUAGUUGCCGCAUGUCAAUGUUAUUGUAGUUCCCUUUUUAGGCUAUAUCUUGUCUAGUUGUCUUUGUGCUCGAAAGUGUGAACUUAGUCAGCGUCGAUAAAUGGAGUGCUUUUGCAUGUUACUUUUUAAUGAAUGGUGGAAACAAUAAUUCAUAAGCAUCUUAGCAUAACAUUUUCGCUCAAUUAAUGCAUAUCAAUAGCGGUUUACUCAUGCUCUGUAUGUGACGCAUUUCUAGGAAGCUUAUAUAUGGAGUUCAUUCGUUUCUGAGGUAUGCUAGAUUUGCAUGGGAAAAAUGAUAAUUUUGACCUGUUUAUUGUCCCUCAAUAUGGGAGAAAUCCUGACCAUACUGGUUAGGUACAUGUAAUAUUUGUUUAUUGCCCUUUAAUAUGGGAGAAAUCCUGACCAUACUGGUUAGGUACAUGCAAUAUUAAUCUUUCGUUUUAUGUUUAAUUAAAUAAAAGGAUAGGUAAUGUUAUUACUUAUGAAUCAUGUCAGUGCCAUUUUGGUUCAGUUCAACUAUUAAUAUCUCUUAGAAUGUUAAAGAAAUUAUCACUGUUAGUGUCCAUGUACUUCGUCUUUUUUAAUAAAUAAAAUUAUCACGUGUCAAUGUGUUAUUUGUUUUGAUCUUUCAACAAAAUUCAGUUUAAUUAAUUAUGCCCUCUUUCAUCACGAAUGUGUGUGUGUAUAUAUUUGAAAAAACUAAAACAAUGAGGGGCACUAUAACUUUUUAUUUGCCAAACAUGGGAUUGUGUAAAAUUAAUACAAUGAGAGGCUUUAAUACAACAACCAAACAAGCUCUUAAGGGAAAAGGACACACACCCCCAUGCCUAAUAUUUAAUAAAGCGACAGAUAUAUUUGUUAAUUUAUAAAGUUUAUUAACUAAUAAAUGCCAAAUAUACUAAUUUUUAUUGUAGUAUAAGCCCAAGUUCAUGGUAGAGAAAACAGGCCUAGGCCCUUUGUAGGAUUGUCCAAGUUGGAACAGGUCGAACUUAAGACUUUUUUAACAAUUCAAUAAAAUAAAACAAUAGCUAAAAGGUAAAAACAACUUAAGUUAAAGAGGAUUUUAUUAAUUUUUUCUCUGUUCAACUAAUUAUACAACAAUAUUUAUUUAAAAAAAAUUGAAAUAGCCUCCAACAAAAAAAAUGAAUUUUACAAAAAUUUACAGCCUACAAAAUGUAGGUUCAAUUGUUCAACAUAGCAUUACUAUAACAAUAAUAAUAAUAAAAGACAUAAUUAGCAUCAGAUUCCAAAUCCAAUAAUCCAAUUUCCAUAAACACUAUCACACUAACAUUUUUUUUCUUUCUUAUUUUUCCAUUCCAUUUUUUUCAAACUUAAUUCGUAAAUUAAAUUUAAUUAUUUAAAGAAAGAAUACGUUUGAGAUUUGAUGCACAAAACAUAUAUAAAUUAUUCAUAAUUUCAAUAUUAGGAAAUAAAUGUUUAGGGGGAUUGAAUUGAUGUCCAAAAUUCAAAUGGCCUAAAUAUGACCCCUUUAUAUAUAUAUAUAUAUAUAUACAGUUAUAGAAUAAUUUUUCAAUGCUGAAUCAUUGACUAUAAAGUCAAGACAAGGUAAAAAAAAAAAAUCAACGUUAAUACAACGUAUAUUGUCGUAUAAUGUUUUGAAAAAUUCCUACAAAUAUAUGGAAACUGAAAAUGACCAUAUUAUUUCUGGCGAUUAAUGAUUCUUGUGGAGUAGAUCCCUGAUCUAUGAAAUGACUUACAUGAGCAUAUUCACCCUUUGGGAGUGGGAAACAAGUAAAAGUAUGUGUGCUAGAGGAGACAACAUUGGGGAGUUAAGUCUGUGCUUCUCGUAAUCAAUUUCCAUAUCUAAAGAAAAUGGAGUUUAUAAUCUUGCUUUUACUAACCUCGUUAACUACUUUGUGAACAAGUUUUUGAUAGACAAAUCUCAAACAUCCAGUGUUUGAUUUUAAGGCCUUUAAGUUUAUGUACUUUCCAUAUUAGGAUCAAUGUCAGAUCUUUAACAACUUUUUUAGAUUUGUAAGUACCUUGGUAUCUUUAGGCCUUCAAUUAUUAAUUUCAGCAAAAAGGUUGAGAAGGAGGAAUUUCUUGAAGAUACGGAGCUUUAUCGUGAUCCUACCACUACACUUCACUAGUAAUAUACUCUCUAAGAUUCUUUUAUUGACAUUGUUUGUUCAAUCCCUUCUUAACCUUCUAGGAUACGACUUUCCUCUUAUUAUACUAUUAAAACAUUUAAUCCUUGAUAUAAAAACAUUUUUAUAGGCCCGAAGUCAGUCCUACAUCAAAAUGCAGAUCUUCAGAAAUAAAUGUAAACCUCUGUUGUUUCAAAAAUUUAAUUCAUGUUAUUUUUCUUUUAAAUUUAUGGUGAUUUGCAGUUCAAGAGUAGUCGUUGGCAUUGUUAUGAUACUAUGAUAGCAGUGCAUGCAGCAAAAGAAAAACAAGUAGCCGGGUAACUAAGCUCCUUGAUUAGUUAUUUUAUUUUUUGUUUGCCUCUAGUCUAACUACAAUUGCCAAUUGUAUGCCCCAAAAUGGUUGCAAUGGUUACAUCUCGAGGGGAGACUUUCGUAGUGAACUUCAACAUUGAAUCCAUAAUCAGAUAGUUCGACUGUAAAGAUUUCCAGCAAAUCACCAUGAAAAUCCACCUUUAUUAAAAUCUUGGCAAAAUGGCCAUACUUUUUCUCUCUUAUUGCCUGAUGAAUUUGCAAAGAAAUGCCAACUUCUCUAGCCACCGUCAUCAGAAUUCUAGGAUGCCAGUACUCCACUCUGGGAUCAUAUGUUCUUAAGGACGUGACUGGAUAGUUGGCUCACAAAGGUUGAAAUUCCAUCACCAUUUGUAUAAGCGAAAGAACCCCUGAGGUAGUUUAUAAUAUUGGGGCAAGAGAAAACAUUUGGUGAAAACCAUCACCUAUAAACUCAGGAAUAUUCAUGUUGUAUUAUCAAGAAUCAAUAGCAUAAUUAUGCGGAAGCGUAUCUGAAUUCAUAACGCUUAAUUCCUCUCUAGAGUAGCGUGGUUGGCCUUUCAGAUCUACACGUUCUCCUAUAGAGUCCUUUAGUUCUCUCUACGCUCUCUCUCUAAUAAUGAGAUAUCAUAAAGAAUGGAAAGAAUACAUGUAACCUGAGGACCAUAACCACUUAUAUAGACAACUUAUUCCAGUUGUCACAUGAUAUUCAUAAUUCUGCCUAUCAUAGAAUUAGAAUAUUAUUGGGUCCUACACAUUAAGGCUCACACUAUAUUAGAUACAUUAAAGCUCAUAAUACCGAAAAUCUAAAUAGAUCACUUUUAAUUGAGCUUAACCUUAUACAACAGUCUGCAACACAUAAUUAUUCACAUAUAAGCCCAACGUUGGAUUAAGGAUCCAACAAUAUUGAAUUAAAAAAUCCAACAAUCUCCCACUUGGGCUAUAUGUGUAACCUUAUAAUUAUGUUUUGCAAAAAUAACCAUAUGAGCUCAACCUUACUGUCAUUAUAGAAAUAUAUAUAUAACUAAUCCGGUCCAUAAAUCAUACUAACGUAAGAUUACCCGUACCUCUAGCUUUUACACAAUAACUACAGAACAAUUAUAUUUCAACAUAAGUAUAAGAAAAGGUGCACGCAUAAGUACACAGAAUGGACUGUAGACCGUAAUAUCCGGAUUCAUAAGUACAAGAGGCAGAACUACAGAACAAUUAUAUUUCAACAUAGCAUCAUUAUCUAAGAAAAGGUGCACGCAUAAGCAUUAUACGAUGAAGCCUACUUGCUUAAUUUAUAAUGGAAGGAAAGCCAACCAUGAUGACUCGUCUGCCAUAAUGUUUAAUGUCAGAGAAAAAGAAAAAAUUAUUUUGCUAAUAUGCAUUCUUCUUAGUUCUAAGACUAUCUAUCAAGAAAAUUGACUUCAUUAAGAUCGUUGCCUUUCAAAGAAUUCAUCAACUGUACAAAAAGCAACUUCGAACAACCAUUAAAUGCUCUAUUGAAAAAUCAAUAUCAUAGGUCCGCACGUUUAAUAUUUUCAUUCCUGGCAACAGAGAAAAAGACUGCACCUCUCCCAGAGUCACGUCCUAAGAUAGUUGUCCAAAGCCAAUGCAGUUUCUACCACGUCUUAUGUCUCGACGAACAUGAGCUUAUACUGCAUUAUUUCCUGCAAGAAGAAGGCCAUCAGGUUUCCCUCCCAAGAAAACAUGAGCUUCUACUUAAAUGUGAAUUAAUUAUCAAGUUAUAACAGAGAAAAACAAAGAAAAGAUGCCAAAAUGUUUGAAGACAGACUGAUAAACUAAAAGGAGACGAGUGGCAAUUAUUUCAUCCAUGUACAAGUAACUGAGAAAAAAACAUACAAUCCCAUCAGGGACAACGGAGGCCAUCUCCACCAAGAGCUUUCCAUAAUUAAUUUAUAAACAUACAAUCUCAUCAGGCUUUAUGGCGAGUGAAGCUUCACGGCAGCUAAGCUGCAACCGAAAUGUCAAAUAAACAAAGAGAUCAAUGGAGAUUUUAGCAUAAAAAUUAACAGCUUGUGAAACAAAGAUGACAGCAUAACAAUAUGCACUAUUUUUACAUCAGAAGCCAUAGUAUUGCAUCAGCAGUGGAAGGCGACAACUAACUAAAGAAUGAUGAAACUCAUUUUUCAUAGCAAAAAUAAUGAUAUUGAAUCCAAGCACAAUAAAUAUUAUUAACUUCAGAUAAGCCAUCUAGCUAAAAUAGCAAAAUAAAUAUGUUAGCACUCUAAUAGCUCAAGAUACAGAGCUACCAAAGCACUGCCCAAGAUUUCUUGCUCACAAACUGCCUCAACUAUCAGCUUUAUGCCAGCUGAUAUACACUCCAGUUUACACAGAUUAAAAAGCCACGUGUAUAACGGCCUCAUAACAGAUUUGAUUCCCUUCUCACGUGCGUUUUCACGUGCUUUACUUAAACCAGCUUAAAACGAUCUUGGAUGAUGCCGUUUUAAACAGUAAGUUGAGCACAUGUUUAGCUCGUGACUUCUUGAGGCAUUUGAACCCAAUCUGAAACGCUUCCGUUUAACCCUUCAAGUUUUGUAUUCAGCAGAUUAAUCCACAAAAUCAAAUCUGGAAACCGAACGAAGGCCAUUCAAAUUUUUUCGGAAGACCUUAAAAUUGAACAUUCUGGAGGCAAAGGGAAGUAAAACACGUUCCAAAAUUUCGUACCUGUCUGUAAAACCUCCGUCAAAAUAUGAACAAAGUUUGCCCUGUAGCUUUUUCCAUCUUUUUUAUUUUUUACAAGACCAAAACUGGAUAACCGAGGGUCACCAUCCUGCGAUGAAAUGAAAAUUAAUUAAUGAACCUGUACAAUCAAAUGCAUAUGAACAUGCUGAAAAAUCAUAUGAAGCAGCCACAAGUUCCCUGACCUAUAUAUUUCUCCAGUAAUUAAAAUUAUUCUUAUAGAAGCAAUGAAAUGAUUAGCAGACUUUUACCUUUCAGUUUGCGUACAAGUCCCCUUACCCAUGUAGUCAUCCUCACUCUUUGCAUAAAUGUAUUGCAACUCCAGCAAUGACCCUAAUCUUGUAAGAACAGGAAUGUGUAGCAAUCGAUAGUCUGGUGAUUCACUGCCAGCUUAGCCAUUCUCAUUUCUCUGACCCUGUGGUUAUUUCUUAUGUUUAUGCUAGCUGCCUUAUGUCUAUUCGAGAGGAUCUAUGGGAUGCCGUAGUGACAUACUUUCAUAGCCAUGAUCGCCCUUGGAUUGUUGGUGGGGGACUUUAAUGUUGUUCAGUCUGUUUCGGAGAUUUCUGGUGGGCAUAACCAACCCUAGGGAGCUAUUGAUGCUUUCAACCUAACAUUGGUGGAUUGUGGGUUGGAGGAUGCUGGGUUCGUUGGUAGCCCAUAUACUUGGACUAAUGGACAUGCUUGGAGGCGGCUUGAUCAGGUGGUCUGUAAUGCUUGUUGGUCUGAUUUUUUCUCGUCGUUUCAGGUUACUCACCUGAACCGUACAGCUUCGGACUAUUCUCCUCUGCUCUUUUCCUGUGACAAGGGUGCGACUAAGGGACCUCCCAGAUUUAAAUUUUUGCAUACUUGGCUCAGACAUCCGGGUUUCUUUGAUGUUGUGACUCAGUCUUGGGAUUCUCCAGUGGUUGGUUUCGGGAUGCGGGCAUUCCAACAGAAGCUUGUCCGUCUGAAGAAUUGUUUGAAAGCUUGGAACAAGGAAGUGUUCGGCAAUGUCUUUUACAGAGUGAAAGAAGCUGAGAAGGACAUAGCUCGGAAGAAGAGGCAGUACGACCUUUCUGGUUCUGUGGAGGAUAGGGUUAUGUUUUCAGAGGCCAGGGCUCAUUUGCAGCAUGCCUUGUUGUGCGAGGAGAGUUUCUUGAGACAGCAGUUCAAUGUCCGAUGGGUCCGAGAGGGUGAUGCCAAUACCCGCUUUUUUCAUGCGAUAGUUCAUUUUUAUCAAUGUCCUUUUGAUCAGAAAUUCAUGAAGAUUUCAUCCAUUAGUUUUUUUGUGGCCCAUUUAGUAGUGGCUGCAUUCUGUUUGUUGAAAUGUCUUAGAGAAGCUUGCAAGUUGCAAUACUAACAAGCUUAAUGAGCUGGAGAUAAAGUGGCAGUGAGCUGGAGUUAAGCUGACAUGGAGCAUGAAUCAGCAUUGUCUUAAGAGCAAUCCAGAGUUAGUUAGAGAGAAAGUAAAAGCAGAGGAAGAAGACAAUGAUCAUGUGAUAUAUGUACAGUACAAUAGCAGUAGCCGUUAGAUCAAUUGAUUUACAACCAUUACACCAUAAGCUUGCUACCCCAGCUAUGCACUGAUGCAUUAAUAGAAAAGAAAGUGAAUGAAAAAGAUGUGCUGUGCUCAAUCAAUUAAUCCUUUUGCGUCUGCCACCAAAACUUAAGGUAGUUAGAAAUUUUUUAACUAGUCAAAAUACCAAUAUUUCCAAAAGCUUUAAGCUUAUGGGACAACCAGUUGCUCAACAUCGACCUUGAUAUCAGAACCAAUCCGGAUGAGGAGUCAGGUGUUCGAAUUCCAUCAUUCAAAAUUGCCUUAUAAUUCCCGCGCUUUCUUGGCAAGAAAAGGCAGUGGAGGCCUUUUAUUAACCAUAAGGGGUGGAUUAAUUGAUGGAUUAAAAUCUUUUGGCAGUCAUUAUUUUACUGGUUGGAAUUUCUUUAUGUUCUACUAUUAAUGAAUUUUCCUUGCCAUUUUUAAGUCUGUGAUAUAAGUGUUCAUAAUGGUGCGUUGUCGAUGUAGUUCUCUCCAGCGAAUCAUGUGUUGAUGCACAUAUUGAAAAAGAGGUAAAGAAUCUAAAUUUCCUGCUUCACAGUGUAGAUGAUAGAAUUUUUCAGUUUAAAACGUGAGGAGUUUUAGUUCACAUGCACUCUGUUUUCGUAGUAGUCUUAAGAUAUGUUGUCACUUGUCAGUGUUCUUGUAGUUCCCUUUUAAGACUACAUCUUGUCUAGUUGUCUUUGUACUCAAAAGUAUGUAGUUAGUGGCGAUAAAUGGAGUGCUUUUGUAUGUUACUUUUUAAUGAAUGAUGGAAAAAAUAAUUCAUAAGCAUCUUAGCAUAACAUUUUCACUCAAUUAAUGCAUAUCAACAACGGUUUACUGAUGCUCUAUAUGUGACUCAUUUCCAGGAAGCCUUUAUCAGGUAUGCUUAACUCAUUGAAAACUUAUUAUUUUUCAUGUUUGGGCCAUCACAACAUUGACAUUGUUGAUGCUGUUCGUGUCUUUCUCACUGUACAUAAGAAUGUAAACUCUUUUUGGAAGGUAUAAGAUCAAGAUUCUGUUUGAAAUCUUUACCAUCAGCUUGCUUUUCAUUUGGUGGAUACUACUAUCGAUAAUGUCAUUUUUGUCAUCACAAACAUAACGCCUACUCUUCAUCUGUACAAAUCACCAUAAAUUUAAAAGAAGAAUAGACAUUAAUAAAUUUUUGGAGCAACAAAAGUGUAUAUUAACUAAUCUUCAUAUUUUUAAUAAUAAAAAAUAAUUUUUGACCCUUAGCAGCUGCUUCAACUUGAAGUUGACCUUCCCAACAUUUCCAACUGACAUUUUGUCCAUCGAUUGUUACAUUCAUCCUCAAAGCAUGCACUGAAGAAGGGAGGCUCAUACUCCACUGGCUGCAAGCCUGCAACAAUUAAGCUCAGGGAUUAUUAAAAAAAAACCACAAUUAAUUAAUUCCAAAUACAAAUGUAGAAACUUAAUUAAGACAUCAGAUAUCAGUUCUAUAAGGGGGUAUCAUCACAUCAUCAUAGUAGAGCGGCUUCACUGAUACAUUACGCUGUAACAAAUUAGGAAUAAUAGAUAUCUCAUUAGUUGAUAAUAAUGUGCCAUAAAUAAUAUUCAAUCAUGUGAAAAUACUUGAAAAAUUAAUCUUCAAAGUGCAAACUGAGACUAUAGCGAGUAUCACUACAGGCAUUUCCAAACCCUUAUUAUAUCUCGGACGCUUUUGCAAUUUACUAAGCAAUUUAGCAGGUGAGGUGCUGAAUGUAUAGUACAGAUGUGACAAGUUAAAUAAAUACAGUCUACACAAAAAUAGAAAGAUAAAUGAAAUUUAAUUAUUGAUGUUGAUUAAAUUAAAUGAAACUGCAUAUAAAGGAAGACAUGUUCCAAUGUCUGUAUAAUCCUCUCAAUAAAUAUCUCAAGAGUAAGAACAUAAAAAAAAAAGAGAAAAUAGAUAUGAAAAUAAAGCCUUAAUUACAGGAAUAUUCUUCAAUCAAAGGCCCUUCAUUUUCAUAAAGAAUUUUCCACACCGAAAAAACGAACUACAUUGCAUGCCUACCGAAAAAUUAAAUAAAAAUUGUUUUUAAUUUCGAAUAGCGAGCCCAAAUUUUCUAUUUCCAGAAGAAAUCUUAUGCUGUUGAAAAGUUUCAUAUUAGGAAUCAUUUACUGCUAGUGUCAGUGAAGUCUCCUUAGUGAUCUGCGGUUUCUUCACUCGUGAUCUACCAGACUUGAAACGAUAAUCAUAUAAUGAGAUAAGUAUUAACUGUUAAUUGAACUGUAGAAUCUCAAAAAUGAGUAAACGGAUUACAAAUUAAUUAUGACGAGUUUGUGUAUCCCUUGGAUUAAAAUAUCAAGAUUUAUUAGGUCUAUAUAAUUAAUUUGAUAUUUUAAUAUCUUCAAUUUGGUAUAUCAGAAUAUUAAGAUUUAUUGGGUCUUUAUCAAGAGCCGUCGCCAAUUGAUCAUUUCAUGGGGUUUGAUACAGCCACAGAACUAAGAUAAAAUUUCAUAGGUAGACUAUUACGGUUACUCCACCAUAAAACAAACGAUAUUUUGAAAAGAAAAUUAAGACUCUGGUAGUUAAUUUGCCUCGUAAUUAAUUAUUGCGGACAAACCAUCACAAAAAUUUUUCAAUUAUUAUUUACUUUUCCAUUUUCUUUAAGGGUGAGACUACUUACAUUUUAAAAAUUACUUUGAAUAUUUUUUAUUUUGAUAAAUUACUUUAUUACAAAAAUACUUAUCAUAUGAAUUACUAAUAAAGACUGUAUCUUUUAUAAACUAAUAUAAUAUUAUUACUCUGAACACUCAUAUAGCAUAGUCAAUAUUCAAUAUAUAAUUUCUUGCUAUAAAUUCUAAAAAUCUCAACCACAAUCUCUUAGAGAAUGUUUAAUUAAACAAGGGGCAAGUCAAUACUUAAAAUAUAUUUAGAACAUUUUUUGCUUUUUAUUUUUUUUUAAAAGUAUGUUUUCGUAGUCUUUUCCUUCUUCUUUUUUUUAGGGGGGGGGGGGGGGGGGGGAAGGGGACUAAAUGGCCCUUUUGUUAGGUUAAAAAGUUGGGGUGUGAAAAUCAAUAUUGUACAUAUUCUUUAAUAGACAAAAACUAAUAAUUAAAAUUUAUGUUAAAGAAUUUGUUUAGAACAAAAUUUGAUUCUAUUGUUGUACAUACUAAAUUGUUAUUAAUUCAUUUUGUACAAAUGCUCGUUUAGUCCCUAUAUUUUAACUUUAGUGCUUAUUUAAUACCUAUAUUUUAAAAAACGCCUCAAGAUACCUAUACUAUUAAAUAUGUUGUACUCUUUUCCUUACUUUUUCUUAGCUUUUACAAUAAUACCCAACAAUAUUUUUUACAUUAAUUGUUUAAUCUAUAAAAAAAGUUACUUAGCAAAUUAACUAAUAAUUAAACAUCAAUAUCAAACAAGCGGUACUUUUUAUACCCUUACAAGAAUCUUGCUGAUCAUUAUUUAUAAAUAAAUUAAUAAUAGCCAAUUUAAAGUAAUGUUUAAUAUCCUUUCAACAACAUUACCAAUAAUGUUUUGUUAAAAAAUUAAUUUACUAAAUUAAUCCUAAAUAUAAAAUAAUAGCAACUAAUUUUUAUUUUACUUUUAUGGCUAAUUUAAUAAAUUUAUUUUUUUCAUUAAUAUCUUUAAGAAUAUUGUUGCAAAGAUAUUAUUAUAAAAGUGAAGAACAAGCUCAAUUAAAAUAAAUAAUGCAAGCUAGUACUAAAUACCUAUUAUAAUUUUAGAAUAGUUUAUUAAAAUAAAAAGGGAAAAGGACAUCUACACAUGCAUUAUUUAUUAUGCAUUACUAAAUACCUAUUUAUUAUACUGUUAAACUUGAGCCGUUCAUCCGUUAUCUAUACAUGCAUUAUUUAUUAUGGUACCUCAGCAUCAUUUUAUCUCCAAGUGCAAAUGCUGAAAAUUAAUUAAGAGGUAAGUAAGGCAUCAGUUAAAUUUGCACCCUACUACCCUGUACUUUUUAUCAAUCAAUACACCUGGUGAGUCCCUAAAAUUUGCACCCUAACAACAACAGCUAGCCACAAUUAGUCAUGAACACCAAAAAGUCCGCGCAGGAUGUGUAAAAUGGACAUGUCUAUGACAUCAUUUUUAUAACUAUAAAAGUAAUAAAAUAUUCUCCUAAAUAUAUUAACCAAUGCGAUUUUGAUUAUUAAAAAAUAUAAUUUCAUUAAAAAUUCAUCGGUCUUACUAAAAUAUGUAAGAAACACGUAAAGUAAUGCACAUAACUUUUUUUUAUUUUUUUAAAGGAGGGGUGCAACAUGAGGACUUCUCAAGAGGUCACUCAUCUUAGUACUGUUCUCGCCCAAGCAUGCUUAACUGCAGAGUUCUGAUGGGAUCCCGUGCAUUAGUGAUGGUAUGGUCGCACCCAAGCAAUGGACAUAACCUUAAUUUUUCAAAUGUUCUUCAUUUUUUUUUAAUCCUUUUGGAUAUCGUGAGAUCUUUAAUAAGGUGGGAAUCAGAGGGGGCCAAGUUCGUUUGGACAGUCCUUCAAAAUAUACUUUUAACUAGUCAAGAAAAAGAUUAGGAGUUGUAAUAUUAACGAAAUUUUAGUAUUGAUAAAUAUGUACGACAGAUUAUUAAUACUAAAUUGAACUUAAAAUGUAUUUAUUAUUACUUUGAUUUUAUUAUAAUUCUAUUUAUUAUAAAACAAUAAACUGAAAUCAAUUUUUGUUCAGAGUCCAACAAUAAAAUAAUCGAAAGGGCCAUUUCCGAGACUAUUUUUUAAACAUUAAGGUCUAUGUCCAUAAUUAAAUAAAUUAUGGAAUAUAAAUAUCCUUUUCCUUCAUAAUUACCGCCAAAUUACUCCCAAUCUCCACGCGCAUUAAAUUUGGUUGGUAUGCUUUGAUCGUCGGUUCGUCUUCAUGUUUACAAUUAUUUACUUUUUGGACCACGUUUGGCACAUGCCGAAAUUGAAUCUUAGCCCUUAAUCUUACCGACUAAUUGUACGAUAAAACUUGAACCGUUGAUGCCUUAUCUAUACUUUGCAACGUCACAAUCACCCCCGUUUGGCACAUGCCGAAAUUGAAUCUUAGCCCUUAAUCUUGCCGGCUAAUUGUACUAGAGAACUUGAACCGUUGAUGCCUUAUCUAUACUCUGCAACGUCACAACUACCCACUUUGGCACCGUAGGCGACUUGAUCUCUAUAUAUCAUGCCAAAUCAGAAGCAAGAACUCGCUCAAGUACUUAUUUUUUAAUAUAGUGCACUCGAAGCUAGCAAAGAUCUUUUCUGACUUGAAGAAUAUGAAAACUCUUGCUGGCGCAGGUAUUUAGGCCUACUUCAGUUUCUUUUUUGAGAAGGGCCAACUUCAGUUGAAUAUCAUUUAUAAUUCUUUUUUUAAUAUAUGCAUUUAUGAAUAUAUUUUUCAAUAUAAAAUUUUUAGGUAUGAGCGAUCCGUCAGAAGGUUUGGUACUCCCUUCCAGUAUUGCUGAUGAUGAUGUUGGAAAUGACAAUCUUGAUCUUAUUGUUAUUCCUCAAUAUGGGAGAAAUCCUGAUUAUUAUGGGUAAGUGUCUGCAAUCUGGAUGAUGAUAUAUGUAAUUAAAUAAAAGGAUGGGUACAGUUAUUACCUAUCAAUCAUAAGAGUGUCAAUUUAGUUCAGUUCACUAAUAAAAAUCUCUUAUACAAGAGAUUAUCUUUGUUUGCGUUCAUGUACUUUGUCUUCUUUAAUUAAUAAAUAAAAUUAUUGUGUAUCAAUGUGUUGAUUAAAUUAGUACAUUAAUAGAUAUAAAAUCAUUUGAAUUUGUCCACAUAUU